GACGAACGCUGGCGGCGUGCUUAACACAUGCAAGUCGAACGGAAAGGCCCUGCUUUUGUGGGGUGCUCGAGUGGCGAACGGGUGGGUAACACGUGAGUAACCUGCCCUUGACUUUGGGAUAACUUCAGGAAACUGGGGCUAAUACCGGAUAGGAGCUCCUGCUGCAUGGUGGGGGUUGGAAAGUUUCGGCGGUUGGGGAUGGACUCGCGGCUUAUCAGCUUGUUGGUGGGGUAGUGGCUUACCAAGGCUUUGACGGGUAGCCGGCCUGAGAGGGUGACCGGCCACAUUGGGACUGAGAUACGGCCCAGACUCCUACGGGAGGCAGCAGUGGGGAAUAUUGCACAAUGGGCGGAAGCCUGAUGCAGCAACGCCGCGUUCGGGAUGACGGCCUUCGGGUUGUAAACCGCUUUCGCCUGUGACGAAGCGUGAGUGACGGUAAUGGGUAAAGAAGCACCGGCUAACUACGUG
rnacentral:rRNA from 1 species